rnacentral:rRNA from 1 species
ACGUAGGUGGCAAGCGUUGUCCGGAUUUAUUGGGUUUAAAGGGUGCGUAGGCGGCUUAUUAAGUCAGUGGUGAAAUACUCUAGCUCAACUAGAGGGGUGCCAUUGAUACUGAUGAGCUUGAGUACAGAUGAGGUAGGCGGAAUUGACGGUGUAGCGGUGAAAUGCAUAGAUAUCGUCAAGAACACCGAUAGCGAAGGCAGCUUACCAAGCUGUAACUGACACUGAGGCACGAAAGUGUGGGGAUCAAACAGGA